rnacentral:rRNA from 1 species
AACGUAGGACACAAGCGUUAUCCGGAAUUACUGGGCGUAAAGGGCGUGCAGGCGGUUGCGUAAGUUAGGCGUGAAAGACUUCGGCUAAACCGGGGGAGGUCGUCUGAUACUGCGUAACUAGAGUGUGGUAGAGGCGUGUAGAAUUCCGGGUGUAGUGGUGAAAUUCGUAGAUAUUCGCAAGAACACCAGUGGCGAAGGCGGCUCACUGGCCCGGUACUGACGCUGAGGUGCGAAAGCGUGGGGAGCAAACAGG